AAAACCAUGGGAGUUUUACGAGGAAACCUGAAAUCGAACAGGAGAAAAGGAACAGAUUUCCAAGAGCAAGAAACAAGGUGGGAUGAGGGCCAGUGUGAGACUGCAGAGUUUGGCCAAAUGUAGACUGUUUUCUCCCAGGGGACACUCCGCAGAAAGAGAGAGGCAGUGGAACUUACCUCAGCAAAGCCCAGGGAUCCUGAGGAGAGGUCUCCAGUGUUAUCAUGUGCAUAAUAAGGGAGAUGGACUGAAGGAAGCUGCAGGAUGUUGAAAUCAUCAUAUUUACAAAUCAGCACUGACUCCAUGGAGGCACUCAUCACUUUACCAUAAAC